GACGAACGCUGGCGGCGUGCUUAACACAUGCAAGUCGAACGGAAAGGUCCUGCUUUUGUGGGGUGCUCGAGUGGCGAACGGGUGAGUAACACGUGAGUAACCUGCCCUUGACUUUGGGAUAACUUCAGGAAACUGGGGCUAAUACCGGAUAGGAGCUCCUGCUGCAUGGUAGGGGUUGGAAAGUUUCGGCGGUUGGGGAUGGACUCGCGGCUUAUCAGCUUGUUGGUGGGGUAGUGGCUUACCAAGGCUUUGACGGGUAGCCGGCCUGAGAGGGUGACCGGCCACAUUGGGACUGAGAUACGGCCCAGACUCCUACGGGAGGCAGCAGUGGGGAAUAUUGCACAAUGGGCGGAAGCCUGAUGCAGCAACGCCGCGUGCGGGAUGACGGCCUUCGGGUUGUAAACCGCUUUCGCCUGUGACGAAGCGUGAGUGACGGUAAUGGGUAAAGAAGCACCGGCUAACUACGUG
rnacentral:rRNA from 1 species